UAGGGAAUCUUCCGCAAUGGGCGAAAGCCUGACGGAGCAACGCCGCGUGAGUGAUGAAGGUCUUCGGAUCGUAAAACUCUGUUAUUAGGGAAGAACAAAUGUGUAAGUAACUAUGCACGUCUUGACGGUACCUAAUCAGAAAGCCACGGCUAACUACGUGCCAGCAGCCGCGGUAAUACGUAGGUGGCAAGCGUUAUCCGGAAUUAUUGGGCGUAAAGCGCGCGUAGGCGGUUUUUUAAGUCGGAUGUUAAAGCCCACGGCUCAACCGUGGAGGGUCAUUGGAAACUGGAAAACUUGAGUGCAGAAGAGGAAAGUGGAAUUCCAUGUGUAGCGGUGAAAUGCGCAGAGAUAUGGAGGAACACCAGUGGCGAAGGCGACUUUCUGGUCUGUAACUGACGCUGAUGUGCGAAAGCGUGGGGAUCAAACAGG
rnacentral:rRNA from 1 species